GCGCAGGGCGUGUCUCCUGUCAAAAGCCAUGCUCGGCAGGUCUGGGUACCGGGCGCUGCCACUGGGGGAUUUUGACCGCUUCCAGCAGUCGAGCUUCGGCUUUCUGGGCUCGCAGAAGGGCUGCUUGUCCCCGGAGCGGGGCGGCGUGGGGACGGGGGCCGAUGCACCCCAGAGCUGGCCCUCCUGCCUCUGUCAUGGCCUCAUCAGUUUCCUGGGGUUCUUGCUGCUGUUGGUCACCUUCCCCAUUUCCGGCUGGUUUGCCCUGAAGAUUGUGCCCACCUACGAGCGGAUGAUCGUGUUCCGUCUGGGCCGGAUCCGCACCCCCCAGGGACCUGGCAUGGUUCUGCUCUUGCCCUUCAUUGACUCCUUUCAGAGGGUGGAUCUGAGGACACGAGCCUUCAACGUCCCUCCCUGCAAGGUGAGGGGCUUCUCAGCUGCAUUGACAGAGGAACUGGGGGCCUGUCCAGAAUGUAUUGUGGUGCCAGGACCUUGGCCUCUGGCCUCUAAGGACGGGGCUGUGCUGUCCGUGGGAGCCGAUGUCCAGUUUCGCAUCUGGGACCCGGUGCUGUCGGUGAUGACUGUGAAAGACCUGAACACAGCCACACGCAUGACAGCCCAGAACGCCAUGACCAA
rnacentral:sRNA from 1 species